rnacentral:rRNA from 1 species
UACGGAGGGUGCGAGCGUUAAUCGGAAUUACUGGGCGUAAAGCGCGCGUAGGCGGUCUUUCAAGUCAGGAGUGAAAGGCUACGGCUCAACCGUAGUAAGCUUUUGGAACUGUAAGACUUGAGUGCAGGAGAGGAGAGUGGAAUUCCUAGUGUAGCGGUGAAAUGCGUAGAUAUUAGGAGGAACACCAGUAGCGAAGGCGGCUCUCUGGACUGUAACUGACGCUGAGGCACGAAAGCGUGUGGAGCAAACAGGAUUAGAUACCCGGGUA